AAGCAUUUUUGUUAGAAAAUUCUAUCAUGACUCAUGCGGGCCAUUCUUAGGAAAGCAAGCCAGCAGGAUGUAAAGGUAUCGGAGCAUGCUCAUACUAUUUUGUUGAGUAAGAUUCUGCAGUCUAACAUAAGAUUAGGGGAUGCCCAUCUAAACAAGGAGGAUCCCUCGAUGGUUUUAGCCAGG